CAGUGGUAUAGGUGUUCCCACGGUGGUAAGACCAGGGUCCAAUCCUGACGAUGGUGGUGACGAAGGAGCUUGACAAGAUUUGCAAUCCUGUGAGAUGACUCCAAUUGUGGCCUCCAGACAGAAUACGCAAAUAACCCUGCGCCCCCUAGUGUUGAAUGCUUUGUCAGUAUGAACCCCACGAGCUUUAGCACAUUCCUGCCCAGCAUGUAUCAACGAGGGGCAGAAGCAUUCAACUGCAAAGAUAAGGUAUAAUACUCAAUAAGCGAGUGCACUCUGUUUAACUGACGGAAAACAGCCAUCAAGUGCAUCGCGUGUCAAUUUAUGCUCAUCAAAAUGCAUUGAGUCAAUGGAAGUCUAUCUUCUUGUGGGUUCCAUGACUAAAUAAAUAUUCGUAGGGUCAUAUUCCAUAUCA